CCCUCCUGGCUAAACAAGAAAAAGACCACAAUAACCCUCUCCGCCCUCUCCGCCGCUGGAGGAAGGGCGGUCUCGUGUUCUCCACCGGCUACCUUCAGGCCUAAGCGUGGAGGUCAUCUUCCAGAAGGGCUUCUCGGCGGUGGUGGCGGUGGAGGAAGGGCGGCGCCCGCUUCCACCUCUGGUGCUUGUCCAUGGAUUUUCGUCUACGGGAGCUUCCACUGGGCCUGGCGGUGGCCGAGCACCGACUCCCCUGCUUCUCCCGCGCCGGCUUCGCUGCUACGCCCUUAGCGUCUUGGGCCAGGACGAAAGUGAUGUGCCUACAGGAGCAGCAGCAGGUACUCUCCAGAUGCUUGUCACCCACUGCUUGCAGGAACUGUGCUUGUAUGUUCUGUUCCUCCUCUAAUAUGUUACUGAACAUGCAGAAAAAGGGUGGUCAUUAUCUUGAUUGGUGGUCAUUAUCUUGAUUAUUGGUCUAGUGUGGAGGUAUCUCAUAACCAAAUGGAUUGCCACCGUUAAGGUAAACAGUGUCACAAUUUUUCUCUACAUUCUACGUGAUCUGGAAUUCUGGAUAUAUAUUUAUUUGCAGAUAAUCAGGAGUUUGGGCUCAUACAACUCAAAUUGGAUUUAAAUUGGUUCAGAUUCGAAUGAAUCAGGCAACCAGCUCAAGGGCUAAUCAAAUCCGAGUGUGAACACGACUUACUCAUAAAGGGAUCAGAUGCAAGCUCUCAAGAUUCAAGGGUCCAGAUUAGAAGAUAAUCUUUCACAUGGAUCCAAGUGUGAACAUGACUUAAAGAUCAAUGGAUGAAAAGUAAUUAAUGAAGAUCCAAGGAAGAUUAAUUAAGGCACCAACUCAUGAAUGCCAAAUAGGAAGAAAAUCAAUGGAGCAAAUAAAGAAUAUGAUUCAAAGGCAGAAACCAAACUCUAGAUCCAAUGGUCCUUAUUCAUGGCGCCUCUUCUCCCUCUUCUCUAUAUAAGCCCAUGCCUCCUCCCUCUUGUGGAGGAAGCUUCACGCCCAAGAAGUCUACCUAGCUGCCGUCCCCCUUCUUUUCCCUCUCUUCUCCACGCUCAAGAAGUCUAGGGGAGGUCCUAACUCUAGCAACCCCUCCUUUUCCUUGCCACCACCGUACUCCUCUAUAAAUCCCUUCUCCACAUCCCAAAAAGACUAAGAGAGGUCCUAACCCUAGCAUUCCUUCCACCAUAUUUAGGAGAGAUCCUAAUCCUAGUGCUGCUAUCUUUCUUCUCCAUUAUCUUCAUGCUUCCAUCUACCUUUCUUCUUUGGAGUUCCUGGACCAAGCCUUCCAGCCAUCCUAUCGCUGUCUGUACGGAGGAAGACGAAAGAUUCAAAGAAGCACACCUACCAUCGGACGCAAUUAGAAGAUUCAACUUGGAGUUAAUUGUCUUGUAUCAUAUUUUUAUCUUUUUUUUUAUGUAUGCUUUAUUAGAUUAAUAAAAAGUAUUUUUAUUACAAUUUCCUUGUCUCUUUAUUAGUUUCUCUCAAUUUUUUUUUCUUUUUUGUUUUUUUGAAACAAUCGGAUUUAGAUCCCUGCGGAUACGAUCCCGACUCAUCUUAUUUACAUAAUAGUGAGUAAAAUUAAAUUCAGUACGCUACGACAUGCAUUAGUAUGUCAUUGCAUGAUAUAUACUUCAUCUACUAGAUGUCUCAACUUUCUGGAGUAACUCGUCCUUUUUCCCUGCUGAUGAUGGCAAUGACCUUCAAUGUGAAGAUUGAUGCAUUUGCAUCUUACCGUGGAAUGGUUCCAAGUUUCCAUUGAAUCCUUAAUUAUGAAAAAAAGAAUCACUUGGAAACCUGCAAUCAUCUCAAGUGAUCUUGUUUGCUUAAGAAAUGCUAGGCCUUGCUGUCUACUUUGCAAAAUAUGUUUAUGUCCUAAAACCUUCAUUAUAUCAAUUGCCAACUUAUUUAUCCUUUUGUACAACCUCCAUAUUGCUCAUUUUGGCUUAUGCAUGCACUUGUUUACGCUACCGCACAAACUUUUUAAACACACCUUUGAUGGCCGGUUUUAACUUUUGAAGCAUAGAUUGUGUAUCUGAAAAUUUGUGAAAGAAGAUCUAAUUUGAGAAAAGAAGAUGGAACCAUUCAAUUCACAGUGACACUCAGCUUGGCUGCAAAAGUUUUUGAAAAUUCAGUCCCCCUUUGCAAAGAAACAUUUUUGUCUUGAGCGAUGGAAGAUCUACUAGUCCUAAGCCCAUGUGAUAUAAAAAAGAGCUGCAUUUGGUUUGAGACUUGAAGGAAAAAGAACUCCACUUUUACCCAGUUUGAAUCUUGCCAGUUUGAAUGGAAGGUGUUGCCCAUUAUGUGAUGUUAGAUUCUUCAUGGGAAACGGUGCAGAAAUAAUGUUGUCAUGGCUGAAGAAUUUGCACAAUGAACUUUGAUUUAUUGACGAGAUCCUCUGAGGCGUCCCUUUUCCUCUCAGUUUUGAUUUAGUGGCAUAAUUUCACUUGUGCAUGCACAUUGUUUGAAAGCCCAGAUUGAGGUGCACCAAUUGAAGGGUGACGAUACUCAUGCCAAUCUUAUGAUGGAAAAACAAGAUUUGUUUACUUUAUCUUUCGCGUUUCCAAAACUAUUUGAGUCAGUUGCUGAUGAUUAAUAUAUUAUAUUAUAUUAUUAUAA